UGCUGGGUAAUGAGGACUCGUGCUAAAAGCCUCUGGGGGACGGGGACGAGUCUGAUGUCUCAGUG
rfam:Astyanax mexicanus Tnplaced_Scaffold_105, whole genome shotgun sequence.